CUUUUAACAUCAGCAGCAACACCUGGAAUGUCAUCUUCAGGCGCUGAUGGUUCUAUUUUAAGAAGGAAUAGAGAAUGGUUAGACUUCUAAAUUUUAUAAAUGUACAAAAAAAUAUUUGCGUAAUAACAUAUUGUCAUCAGAUAAUUAGAUUUCGCUCUAUGAGGUUCUUUGUCCUUGUCAUAUGCCUUAUGACAAAGUUGUCAGAAGUUCUAUGAUUCAUAACCAAACCAUAUCUCCUUUUGGUUAUUUGAUUUGCAUCAAGAUUUAUCCAUGUAUGCUCCUUUUAUUGCGUAUACAUUUUUUGGGUUCCCGUGGCAACACGCGGCACAUACAGUGCAUUGUAAUUACAUCGAUAUGGGCCAUGUAGUUGGGCGCUGGAGAAGUGUACAUGGGAUUACGGUGACAGCAUGGUCCAGGCCCAUCCCCUCAAAAAAAAAAAAAAAAUCAUGGUCCAGGCCCUCCGCGGUCUCGACGGCGGCGGCGGCGGCGCCUCCAUGGCUGGCCGGUGGUGGGUGCGGCGAGGCGUUCGUGUGGGCUAUUCGAUUGUUUCACUCUCUUCUUCUCCUGUCAUCCCUGGGACAGCGGUAGUCGUGGCUCCGCCCGUGGUUAGCAACAACGGCAGCAGCGCCGCCGCCGGCCACCACCGAGAUAACCAACGCUGCUCCACGCACAGCACAACCCGGCCUCCCCUCCGGCUGGAUGGACUUACCUUCAAAUUGGUAUCAGAUCGAGAUUUAUUGUCAUGUCUGAUGUGUUGACAUCCCAACGUUUAUGCAUGCUUACAAAUUCAGACGAUAAUUAGCCAGCAUGAUCAAUGAUGCUUUGAUGCAUACCUUGCGCAGAGCUUUGUAUUUGGUUUGAAGCUUUGGUUCAGCAUGGUCCUCAUGACCUGUAGAUAGCCAUGGACCCUCUUGUGAUUGUGAGAUAUACCAUAUGCUGACGCGUUCAAUCGAAUAUGAUGUGUGAGCCUCGAACAUUACGAGUUUAUGACUACUCGUCGAGGUGUCCACUGAAGAUGACUAGCGGCACCUACGCAAUCGAAAAUUAGUGCAGAACAAAAAUCGCAGCAAUGACGGGAUAAGAGCUCAGGCACAUAUGCUCCCGCUUGAAGAAUAAAAUUGUGAAGAAACAGUGCAAGACCUGAAUUGACUAUAUCCCUCAAUUGCGUAGUAUUGGUACACUAUGGUGAUAUGAUCUUCAUGGCUUCUGUGGCACUCAGCGUUUUUCAGAUGUGACAAAGGCCUUAGGGGACACCUGCAGAUUCUGGAAACUCCCAAGUAACAUGCUUACCACCUUUGUCAUUGAUGGCUGGUUUCUUGGGUUCCACUGAAUAUUCUGCAGUAUUCCUGGUUAGUUGUGUAAAAAACUUCAAAUCCUUCUCAUUUUUCUUAGCAUGGCAGAAUAAACACUUCUUCACGUACAAUAAGGACCGCAAUGAUGUGGGCAACUUCAUAUCAAGUGGUGAUAUGGAUGGACUUCAGUCUUUUUGUAAUAAUCAGGCCCUGAUUUUCGAGCUCAGACAUGAUCAUCACCAGCACCCCUCUCCUCUCGUUGCAGCAGAUAUUCAGGAGUGCCGUGUUCCCUUUGAUGCUGGCCUCAAUGUCCGGGCUUGAGUACCCGGACCCGGAGCCGCUCCCGCUGGGGCCUGCUGCAUCGUUGUUGGGAGCGGAUAUGCAGCAUUUGCUGUCGAACACCAUGGACUCUGACGGCCUCCGUGAGCCUUGCUCCAGGGCCUUCACCUUCUCCUCGAGCUGCUUCACGUAGUCGAUGGUACCUGGUGAUCACACAAAUACAGCCAAGUUGUCUUGUCACGCACCUUCUUGAGGCCGGGGACGAUGGUGGCCAAGGACACGAACUGCUGCUGCAGCUUCUCCCGCCGCUUGCGCUCGGCGAUGACGUGCUCUUGCGGCGCCCUGCCCCGCCUCUCGGGCGCCUGCAGCUGCUGCAUCGUCCCUUGGACUCCGUCGCGCUGCCAGCCGGAGAAGUUCAGGGUGCUAGCCUGGCCAGGGCCGAAGGAGAGGAAGUUGGAUGAUGGCGGCGGAGACGGUUGCCCCAGCUCGUUCUUCACCGUUGCCGAUCCGAAUGGCAAGUUCGGCAAUGACGAUGAGCCCCCAAAGCUCGGGAAAUUGGAGCUGCGAGAUGGACUGAACAUCGGGAUUGCCAUCGGUGGCGUGUAGCACUGCGCUUCACGGCCAGGUAGCGGUGGCUCUGCAAACUGCUGCUCCCUACCGGGUACGGGUACUGGACCCCCUUCUUGCUGAUACAUGUUUGGUUUCGCAGACACACAGUGCGAGUUUCGGAUUUUCUUUCUCAACGCCUUUUCUCUCCAGUGCUUGGCCUGAGUGCCUGACAUCGCAGCUCCGAUCUCUGAAGAUCUCCUGCAUGCAAUCUUUAAUACAUUCGAGAGAUCCGUGAUCUGAAUGUGGUUUACAAAGAACAAAAUUUUCCCUAAAGAAACUCGAUCUGUCGCGUACCUCCUCAACUCAACCUGUCUGAAGGUUCAGUAGGUCCGAUGAAAGUGGCACUGGGAUAUAUAGAAAACUAGUGUGCACGCACGCAUCGUUGCCGGACGAGGUCUGCUUCACGCGCAAGUGCGACAGUUGCGAGUUGUUGGAGUGUCGAAUGCGACACUUCGUGAAGGAUGAGUACACUCUAGUGUACAUUUUCCGGAUAAGUUUGGUGCUGAAGGGUAAGCACAGUAGUUAUGAACUCCACUAGUGUGCAUAUACCAAUACCAUACUACCAUUCUGUCAAUUGUUUAGGAGACCCAUGCGAUUAUGGCGCUGCAUUCUUUAUGCCGAGCCUGCAAGCUUUAGGUUAAUUACACAAGCAAAUCCCAGGAAAGCGGCUUCAAAUCAAAGUGCAAAUACAACACAGCUGGCUGGAAAGUACUACAAACCUGAAGAGGGCACAAGAAGGGGACAGAUGUCUUAUACAUUUGUUUUGCUUCAAUCCCAUCAACGAGGUUAGGGCUUUAAGCUACUAGAUUAGAUACUCAUCAUGUUGUCGCAUUGUUCUAGGUGCAUGUGCAACUUGGAAUAUUUCAUGACAUCUUUCGGCUGCCACGAGCAACUUUGCUGCGUAUAAGAUUGGUAUGCAAAAUUUUGCCUAGAUUUAGUUGCUUCCUGUAGUUCUGAAUUUACUGCUAGUUAGUUAUUAGGCCAUGUCGUUUUGAGAGAGAUACUCAACAAUUUUUUUUCGAAAAGGGGGUUUGCCCCGACCUCUGCAUCAGAACGAUGCAUACGGCCAUAUUAUUGAUAAUCAAAAUGGUUCAACAAAAGUCUUCAUGUCUCAAAAAAGAAAUAAGAAAAGGCUCACAAAGAGCACAAACAGA